CUUUUUGUUUGCCGUGAGUGGUCCGCUGCAUUAUUGAUCAAAACAUUAUCAAGUCGUCUCACCAGUCAUGAAGUAAUCUUAACAGCCUUUGCCAAGAACAAUUUUCAGCUUUCCAACUUCAAAUACUUGAUCACAAUUAGUCCUUUGGCCACGAAGAGAGAAAAUGGCUUUGGUUGGAGAGGCUUUGCUUUCCGGUUCGAUCAAGGUGCUGUGCGAAAAGAUUGCCUCCGGACUGUUCAUCAACUUCUUCCGGGCAAGAAGACUCGACCAUUCGCUUAUGGACAAACUGAGGGUGACAUUGAAUACACUUCAAGCAGUGCUCAACGACGCAGAGGAGAAGCAGAUUGUCAACCCUGCAGUCGAGGUGUGGCUUAACGAUCUCAAAGAUGCUGUGUUCGAUGCGGAGGACCUGGUGGAUGAGAUCGAUACUAAAGCUUCGCGUCACAAGGAGAAAGAUCAAACUAAGAAACCCAAGGUGUUGAAAUUCCUUUCUACCCGUCUUAAUCCUUUUAAUUAUAAAGGCAUGAAUGGUAGGAUAGAAGGUUUAUUCAACAAGUUGGAACACCUUGCAAAACAAAAAGAUACCCUCGGCCUUAGAGAAGGUGUUGUUGGGGGCAAGGUUUCACAAAGAACUCCCACAACUUCUGUUGUUGAGGACGGAUUUUGUACCGAUGGAAGGGAAGGAGAUAAGGAAAAGUUAAAAGCUCUGCUGCUGCUAUCUGACAAUGAAAGUAGCAGUAAUUUUUCUGUAGUCCCUGUCGUCGGAAUGGGUGGGGUUGGUAAGACGACUCUUGCUCAACUGCUUUACAACGAUGAACAAGUUAAAGAGCUCUUUGAUAUUAAUGCCUGGGUUUGUGUUUCCGAACAGUAUGAGGCUUUGAGGGUUAUUAAGACCCUUAUUGAGGAAAUCACUGAAAAGCCUUGUGACAAUUUGGAGAUGAAUUCCCUUGAAGUUCAACUAAGGCAACAAUUGAGGGGAAAGAGAUUCUUACUUGUCCUGGAUGACCUUUGGAAUGAAAACUACGGUGACUGGGAUCGGCUACGAACUCUUUUCACGUAUGGGGCAAGGGGAAGCAAGGUCAUUGUAACAACAAGGAAUAGACGUGUUGCAUCCAUCGUGCACAAUACUAUUCCUAUUCACGACUUGGAAGAAUUGUCGGAUGGAGAUUGUUGGUUGUUGCUAGCAAAACAUGCAUUCAGAAAUGAAAACCCCGCUGCACAUCCAGAAUUGGUUGAAAUUGGUAAGCAAAUUGCACGUAAGUGCAAGGGUUUGCCUCUAGCUGCAAAAACGCUAGGGGGUCUCUUAAGUUGCAACCUAGACUACAAGGAAUGGAAUCACAUAUUGAAUAGCAAUCUUUGGGAUCUACAACAUGCUGAUAGUGUUCUUCCUUCUCUAAGAUUGAGCUACCACUAUCUUCCAACUUACUUGAAACGAUGCUUUGCUUAUUGCUCAAUUUUUCCGAAGGACUAUGAAUUUGAAAAGGAAAAUGUUAUUCUACUAUGGAUGGCAGAAGGUUUAAUUCCACAUGCAGAGAACGAGAAGGCAAUGGAGGAGGUUGGUGAAAGAUACUUUGAUGAACUGUUAUUGCUGUCACUAUUUCAAAGGUCAAGAUUGGAUCGACCAAGUUUCACAAUGCAUGAUCUUAUCAAUGACUUGGCUAUGUUUGUGUCUGGAAAGUUUUGUUUUAGGUUGGAGCAGAAAAAAUCACAUGAAGUUCCUGAAAGAGUUCGCCACUUGUCGUAUAUGCGAGGAGAAUUUGAUACAUCUUCAAAAUUUGAGCCAUCUUCAAAAUUUGAGCCACUAGAAGGAGUCGAGUGUUUGCGUACCUUCCUUCCAGUAUCUUUAGCACCAUAUAAGCAUUGGGAAGCUGAAUAUGUAAGCAAUAAGGUUCUAGAUGAUUUACUACCAGCACAAAAAUAUUUACGGGCAUUUUCAUUGUCAAGAUACAAAAACAUCACUCACUUACCUGAUUCUAUUGGUAACCACAUACACUUGCGCUACAUUGAUCUCUCUUAUACGACAAUUAAAAGGUUACCAGAUACAGUGUGUACCCUCUACAAUUUACAAACUCUGUUGUUGAAAGGUUGUUAUUAUCUUGUUGAGUUGCCUGCAGAGAUGAGGAGAUUGAUUCAUUUGCGUCAUCUUGAUAUUGGUGAAACUUUCAUAAAAGAGAUGCCUGUGCAUAUGGGUAGACUAAAAAGUUUGAGAACACUGACAGCUUUUGUGUUGGGGGAAUCUACUGGGUCAAGCAUUGCAGAACUGAGGGAGUUGUCGCACCUUGGAGGAAAAAUCUCUAUCUUGAAUCUGCAAAAUGUGGUCGGUGCUAUUGAUGCCUUGCUGAAGGAUAAGAAAGAUCUCAAGGAGGUAGAGUUGGCAUGGGGUCCUGAAGCUUCCGAUGAUUUUGUAAAAGAGAGACAUGUGCUUGAAAGGCUUCAACCUUGGGUAAAUUUGGUGAAGCUAACCAUCAGGUGUUAUGGCGGAAUCAGUUUCCCGAAUUGGGUGGGAGACUCGUCCUUCUCCAACUUACAAGUGAUGCGUCUCAGUGGCUGUGGUAAUUGCAGUUCAUUGCCACCAGUUGGUCAGCUACCUGCUCUGAAAGAGCUCUACGUACAAUGGAUGAAAGUUGUUAAGAGUGUUGGUGUUGAGUUGUACGGGGGAAAUCAACAAUUUCAAUGUUUAGAGAAGCUAGUGUUUAUGGAUAUGCCAGAGUGGGAGGAAUGGCAGCCAAGUCCAAGUGGAGGUGAAAGUCCAAACUUUCCUCGUCUUAAGGAGUUGACUUUAUCUCGAUGUCCGAAGCUGAGAGGAAACUUGCCCACUCAUCUUCCUUCCUUGAAAAUACUUACCGUGUGCAAUUGUGAGGUUCUACAUGAAAACAGGGCCAGUAAUACCCUGAACACGGAGUCCUUACGAGGAUCUCUUGAAGAACUGACAAUACAUGGAUGCCCGGGUCUCUCAUUGUUACUAGAGUCGACGGAGACGCUGCCGUCGCUUCAGAUGCUUGAUAUUCAUUUUGAUGGGAGAGAGUGGUUGCCGCAAAUGGUGCACAACAGCAAUCGUCUUCAAAGUUUGAUUUUAUGUAGAUGUUCCUCACUCUUGUCGUUCCCUACAAAUGGUCUGCCCACCACGCUGACGUCACUCCGCUUAUACUGUUGCAAGAAAUUAGAAUUCCUAUCACGUGAGAUGAUGGCCAAAUUGACUUCCCUUCAGUCUUUGCGUCUAGAAGGGAGCUGUGAUUCUCUGAGGUCGUUCCCUUUGGGCAUUUUCCCCAACCUUUCAUCUCUUUUUAUCCAAAGUUGUCAGAAUCUGGAAUCCCUAUCUGUAUCUGUUGAAGGAGGAGCAGAUGAAAAUCUCAGCCAUCUCAACUCCCUGUCUAUUUUGCAUUGUCCAAAUCUUGUCUCUUUUCCCGACGGGGGAUUGCACACUCCCAACCUCACUUCCUUUUCUGUCGGAAGUUUGAAGUUGUUGCCGGACCGCAUGCACACCCUCACCGCCCUUCAAGAUAUGCGGAUAUUCGAUCUUCCAAAAGUGGUGUCAUUUGCACAAGGGGGUUUGCCUCCCAACCUACAAUCAUUUUGGAUCUCAGGAAACAAGGAUCUGGUGGAGACGUUGCUCAAUGAAAAGCUGCUCCCUGCCACUCUUCAUACUCUUGAAAUCUCUUCUGUAUGGAAUCUGAAAUCUUUGAACGGAAAGGGAUUUGAGCACCUCACUUCUCUUCAACACCUACACAUUUCAGGCUGCGAGAGUCUCGAAUUCCUGCCAAAAGAGGGUUUUCCGGCAUCUCUUUCUUAUGUCAGCAUCUGGAAUUGUCCUUCUUUGAAGAAGGGAAAAGAUUGGAGUAACAUAGCUCGCAUUCCUUGCAUAGAGAUAAAUGAUGAAAUCACCAUCAUAUGAGCUUUUAUUUCACUCUCUAACUCUCAACUCUCAAGAAAAAAACCAGGUAAUCAUUUGAUUCGUUAACUGCUCUAGAGGAAGAUGCCAUGGAGAAAUAGAUGAUGAUAAGCCUUAACCCAAGUUUGAUGGUGAAAGUUGGAGCAGCCGGCUCUCAAAUUUAGAAACCUUCUUGCCAAGUGCGCGCACAGGGGUUCAUUUUUCUCUACCACGUACAUUUUAGGCCAUGACACUUAAGUCGUUGGCUGCCAAUGGUGGUUUAUUUGGAGGCUGCUGCUAUGGAAGUGGAUAUAAUUCCACUCUAUCUUUGGCAGGACUGUAGCAAAAGGAGAAGCAUUAUUGUUGUUGGCAGGACUGUGCUGCCAAAUGCGAGAAUUUGAAGUUGCUGCUGGCCCAAAUGCACACCCUCACUGCCCUUCAACAUUUGUGGAUACAAAAUCUUCCAAAUCUGGGGUCACCUGCACAAGGGGUUUUGCCUCCCAACCUACGAACAUUUUGGAUUGAAAAUUGUGAGAUACUGAGGCCUUCAGUGGAGUGGGGAUGGCAAGGACUUGCCCCUCUCCGAGAAUUUCGGGUCCAAGGAAACAAGGAUCCGUUGGAGAUGUUGCUCCGGGAACAGCUGCUCCUUGCCACUCUUCACAAUCUCUGGAUCUCUAUACUUUCAAAUCUGAAAUCUUUCGACAAAAGGAACUUGAGCAUCUCACUUCUCUUCAACAGCUACAAAUUUCAAGCUGCGAGAGUCUCGAAUUCCUGCCGGAGGAGGGUUUGCCGGCAUUUCUUUCUUAUCUGAGCAUCUGGGGUUGUCCUUCUCUGAAGAAGAGGUAUCGGAACAAGAAGGGAAAAGAUUGGAGAAACAUAUCUCGCAUUCCUUGCAUAAAGAUAGAUGAUGAAAUCACCAUAUGAGCCUUCAUUUCACUCUCUCCAACUCUCAACUCUCAAGACAAAGCCAGUACAUUGCGUUACUAUACAAGGAGGCUGACAAGGAUGCUGGUUGUUCCUCUACAGAUUUCACCACAAGGAUAUAUCGAUCUUUGGUUGAACGCUGAUGAUUUGUAAAUUUGGAAUCGAACUAUGCUAUGUCCCCCUUGGAGAAUUUCAGAUCAGGGGAACUGAGGAUCUGUUGGAGACAUUGCUCAAACAACAGCGGCUCUCUUCCACUCACACCGUCUGGACGAUCAAGUUUGAAAUCUGUGGAUCAAAACACCACGCACUUGCGGAAUUCCUGCCUGGAGAAGGACCUCAGCAGCUAUGCAUCAUCGAUUGUCUUGCAUUCCUGCCAGAAGAGGAUUUGCCACCAUCUCUUUCUUUUCCGAGGAUCACCAAAAUGUUUGUUCUUCUCUGAACAAGAGGUGUGCAAAGAAUAUGAAUGGAAAAGAUUGAGGCAAUAUGGUUCACAUUCCUUGCAACUUUCAUUGAUGGAAAUCAAAGUCGGAACGUUGAACUGCUUUUUUUUUUUUUUAAUUUUGUACUUAAAACCUUCAGCAGGGCUGGUUUCCCUGUUUAUCCCUCUUUGGAGCUGUUCAUCAAUGGCGAAUGGUUUAGGCUGCCUGAACUUCCAACUUUCA